CCUACGGGAGGCAGCAGUGGGGAAUAUUGGGCAAUGGGCGCAAGCCUGACCCAGCAACGCCGCGUGAGCGAUGAAGUAUUUCGGUAUGUAAAGCUCUAUCAGCAGGGAAGAAGAUGACGGUACCUGACUAAGAAGCCCCGGCUAACUACGUGCCAGCAGCCGCGGUAAUACGUAGGGGGCAAGCGUUAUCCGGAUUUACUGGGUGUAAAGGGAGCGUAGACGGCGAUGCAAGCCAGAUGUGAAAGCCCGGGGCUCAACCCCGGGACUGCAUUUGGAACUGUGUGGCUGGAGUGUCGGAGAGGUAGGCGGAAUUCCUAGUGUAGCGGUGAAAUGCGUAGAUAUUAGGAGGAACACCAGUGGCGAAGGCGGCCUGCUGGACGAUGACUGACGUUGAGGCUCGAAAGCGUGGGGAGCAAACAGGAUUAGAUACCCCAGUAGUC
rnacentral:rRNA from 1 species